rnacentral:rRNA from 1 species
GACGAACGCUGGCGGCGUGCUUAACACAUGCAAGUCGAACGGAAAGGCCCUGCUUUUGUGGGGUGCUCGAGGGGCGAACGGGGGAGUAACACGUGAGUAACCUGCCCUUGACUUUGGGAUAACUUCAGGAAACUGGGGCUAAUACCGGAUAGGAGCUCCUGCUGCAUGGUGGGGGUUGGAAAGUUUCGGCGGUUGGGGAUGGACUCGCGGCUUAUCAGCUUGUUGGUGGGGUAGUGGCUUACCAAGGCUUUGACGGGUAGCCGGCCUGAGAGGGUGACCGGCCACAUUGGUACUGAGGUACGGCCCAGACUCCUACGGGAGGCAGCAGUGGGGAAUAUUGCACAAUGGGCGGAAGCCUGAUGCAGCAACGCCGCGUGCGGGAUGACGGCCUUCGGGUUGUAAACCGCUUUCGCCUGUGACGAAGCGUGAGUGACGGUAAUGGGUAAAGAAGCACCGGCUAACUACGUG